GUUGUCAUCUUCUGUCUUUUUUAGGGACAUCAGCAUGAAUGAUGCAGGACUGGGCAUUCUGGACAUCACCACAGCAAUCAUGAUAAAGAAGGGGCUGAGGAAGAUCCUGGCAGCACAACAGAGAGAAACCUCCCAGGGCCCAGCUGCUGGGAGGAUGUGACAGCAACGGGCUCGCUCUGAAAGAAAUGCACCUUCCCAGGCAAACAGGGAUCAGUGCACCUGUCAAGAUCCCACUCUGGAACAGAAGAUCAGAGCAAAUGGGGGCUGAGGAGAACAAAAGCUGCCCCAAACCUUUGACCUAAAUUUAACAUAAAGCCAAAUGAAACCUUAGAGGUUUGUAGAUGUUCAUAAAACAUUUCCACCUCCUGGUCCCCUUUCCUUUAUCUUUGGUUUCUUUAUACUUCUACAUUUAACUGUUUCUAAUUGAAAGUCUAA
rnacentral:lncRNA from 1 species